rnacentral:rRNA from 1 species
CUCUGUGACUCCUACGGGAGGCAGCAGUCGGGGAAUAUUGCACAAUGGGCGCAAGCCUGAUGCAGCCAUGCCGCGUGUAUGAAGAAGGCCUUCGGGUUGUAAAGUACUUUCAGCAGUGAGGAAGGUUCAUGCGUUAAUAGCGUAUGGAUUUGACGUUAGCUGCAGAAGAAGCACCGGCUAACUCCGUGCCAGCAGCCGCGGUAAUACGGAGGGUGCGAGCGUUAAUCGGAAUUACUGGGCGUAAAGCGCAUGCAGGUGGUUUGUUAAGUCAGAUGUGAAAGCCCGGGGCUCAACCUCGGAAUUGCAUUUGAAACUGGCAGACUAGAGUACUGUAGAGGGGGUAGAAUUUCAGGUGUAGCGGUGAAAUGCGUAGAGAUCUGAAGGAAUACCGGUGGCGAAGGCGGCCCCCUGGACAGAUACUGACACUCAGAUGCGAAAGCGUGGGGAGCAAACAGGAUUAGAUACCCUGGUAG